rnacentral:lncRNA from 1 species
GAAGAAGACAAUCCCAUGGCCGUUAGAUUGCUUUGACUUUGUCUUUUGAUCUAAAGGUCCACACAUUUUAUGAUUUUUGUUUUUAUUUAUUUUUUAUUAGUCACUUAAGUGACUUGUGUGACCAAUUGACAUUGUUGCAUAUAUGUCACAUGUCAUGUACAUAUUUCACCCCGUUUUACUUUAUUUUUUAAAAAUAGCAAAAAUACUUUAAAAAAUCUGAAAUUUUGUGUGAGUGAUCCCUGAUGAGUCCUUGAUUUUUUGGUACCAUUGCCCAAUUAUUUCAUGACACGUGGAAUUUAAUAUGAAUUUCUGAUUCAUUUAUGUGCAUUUUUGACCAUUUACAUUCAAACCUUCAUGAAAUCCCAUAUUUUAACCAUUC